rnacentral:lncRNA from 10 species
UGUCUCUCACCCUCUGCCAUGUAAGAAUUCUCUUUCACCCUCUGCCGUGAUCGUGAGACCUUCCCCAGCCAUGUGAAACUUUUUCAGCUUUCCUCCACUGUUUUGGGAAACGUCACCUUCUUAUCUUGGAAGAGUAAUCUCAAAAUUGAAGCAUCUUAGAUCCAACAAGAAUUAAAAGGAUGGGAAGUCCUUGCAGCCAUCCAAUAGAGUCAGAAGACUUUGGAUUUUGGAGUCUGUGAGAUGAUGUACUCACAUCCCAACAAAUUGAAAAUGCUGACCAAUCCCAGCACAGCCAACUCGAAUUUGCUCCUUCAUCAAAGUGACCAGCACCUCAUUUCUUCCUCUUUAGAAUUUAUAGAGUCCUAUGGCUAUUGAUAUCUAACAUCCUGGCUUCACUCACAUGGAUGAGCCCCACCUGGAAUGCCUAGAAGACGUGGGACAGCUGGAUCUCUCUCCACACGGUUUUUCAUUGUUGCCUCAGGUUCCAAUAAAAGCAAAAGCUGCAAGGUCUUCUGAGGCAAAGACUUAGAAAUACCACAAUGUUACUUCUGCUGCAUUCUGUUGAUAAAAGAAUCCCACAAUGCCAGCUUCAUUUAAAGGGGUAAAGAUAUAGAUUAUUCACCUUCGAUGGGAGGAACUGCAAAUGAUGUAAUUAGUGAUAAUUUUUAAUAUACUGUAAUGUAUUGACUUAUCUUUAAAAAAUGAAAAAAUAAACCAAAAACUAAAAGCAAAA